UGGCGGCCAUACCGGGGUUGUACCACUCCUUCCCAUUCCGAACAGGACAGUGAAAAGCCUUUGGGCCGAUGAUAGUUGGUUGUAUUUCCAGUGAAAGUAGGUCACUGCCAG
rnacentral:rRNA from 1 species